GUGGGUUGGAGACAGUUCCAAAAAACUCUGGCCUGGAACUUAUUUCUCCCAUAUGUGUAUAAUCUGAUGAGUGGAGCAUUGGCCCACCCUGCUCUCCAAAUGCUCCACCCCAGGGGCCCAUAACUAAACGUAGCUUUGUGUUGCACACCACACAUACAACACGUACUUCCCCUGGGGUUAAAUGUUAAAGGCCUCUCUGCCUUCACUUUAUUACAAAG
rnacentral:lncRNA from 1 species